UUUUAUAAUUUUCAAUUAAAUUCCAAAUUUCAUAAUCUUAAUUAUUAUUUUUUUUAAUUAAAAACAAUGUGUACAGGAUCUCGAGGAUGAAGAAAAGUUUGAGGAUCACUGGAAUCUUGGACGCAGGCUGAGAACUUCUGGGAAAUAAUAAGCAGGGAUUGCAUUGACGCAUUCACGAUCUGAUCACCGCAAUCUCAAAGUUGUUCCACUUACCAGAUGAAACACAUCCGCAGCGAGGGAAAAGGAAAAAAUACGUGGAUCCGGUCGGAUUAACCACUUGCACCGUGGUCCUCCUUAAUGUGGACGGGCCAGAGGAUGUCUAGCGACUGGUAAAUCGCGGAACAUUUCAAUUUCCAACGCGACUUGGACAUCACGUGACACAAGUUGGAAACUACGCCUCUGGCAUGGGGACAGAAGGGAUUCAGAAGCGACGAGGAUGGGGCGCCAGUUCGCCCGUUGCUCCGGAACAGGCAGCAAUAUUUUCACGGAAUAUUUUCUUUUCUUUUUUUUUUUCCUCUUCGUGGAAGAAUAUUUUUUCAUCCGAGAUUUUAUCGAAGGUGAAGUUUGAUGAGAUAAGAAAAAAAGCUAUUUUCUAAGAUGCAGGAGAAUAUACUUGAAAUUGGAAAUUGGGAUUCAAGGUGAAGUUUGAGGUUUGGAGGUUUGUUCGAAAGUAUUUGGUGGAGAUUAUAAGGUGAGGUUUGGGGAAAUUUUAAGACUUGGAUGGAAUAUUUGGAUAUUUUUGAAGAUUUGAAUAUGGGAUGAAGUUUAGAUAAUUUGGAGAUUUGAUUUGUGGAAUGGAUUUUGGAUCCAUUUUGGAAUUUGAGAUUUUAGAUUGUAUUUUUGAUUUAAUUGUUGAACUUUAAGAAAUUUGGAUUUCUGUAUUUGAAAUUUGAGAUUUUUGUAUUAUAUAUGUUUAUUUAUAAUAAUUUGCUCCUAUACUUUGAACAUCAAAGUCUGGAAUUGCUUCGCUUUAACGAUUCAAAUCUUUUUUAUUAAAAGUGAGAUUAAUUAACUUCAAUUAAAACAUAAUCACAAAGCAACAUGAUUUAUCUUUCAAGGAUGUUUAUAAAAGAAGACGUGUGUGCAGAUUUGGCGAUGAGAAUCAUAUAAAUACCUAUUAACCGUCAACUUUGGUAGAGAACGUAUCGAUUGACCCACAAAGGGGAUCAUGCGAACGCCGAACAGAAAUUAUAAAGAUUGCCAUUUAUUAAAGAAUACUAGAGCAUAACAAGUUUCCAAGAAUACUUACUGUAUUCACCCUCUUGAGAUAUGAAAGAAGAAAGACUGACUCUCACAAUUGACUAGAUAAAAGGAAACGAGUAAACACUUUUCAACGACACGAGAUUCAGAGAAAGUGUGCACCACUUCUGCACCAUUGACAACCCUUCUAUAUAG